ACCCCCUGGCAGCAGAGGACUACCAGGUUGCCUAAGGAGGGUUGGAUCAGCCCUGGUCAGAAAUGGAGCAGAUC
rnacentral:miRNA from 1 species